rnacentral:rRNA from 1 species
UCCGUAGGUGAACCUGCGGAAGGAUCAUUAAAAGAUAUGGCAUAUUCCAUGUGAAUAUACCCAAUCAACCCAUUCUGAGUACCUUACCUGUUGCUUUCACACAGCGUCUGCGCUCUUUUGUGUAGACAUCCAAACUGACAUUAACUUGUUGGCUUUGGACAUGUGUGAAAGGUAUACAUCAAACUCUUGCAUUACCAUGUAUUCUGUCUGAUUAUGUUUAAUACAAAAAUAUUAAAACUUUCAACAACGGAUCUCUUGGUUCUCGCAUCGAUGAAGAACGCAGCGAAAUGCGAUAAGUAGUGUGAAUUGCAGAAUUCAGUGAAUCAUCGAAUCUUUGAACGCACAUUGCGCCUCCUGGUAUUCCGGGAGGCAUGCCUGUUCGAGCGUCAUUAAAAACCACUCAAGCUCUUUUGCUUGGUAUUGAGGGAUGAGUAUACUUUUCUAGUUUACUCACUUUCGAAAUUCAAAGGCGUAGAGCCCCACAUACCACAGCGUAGUAAGUUUUCUUUCGCUUGGAGUGUGAGGUGAUAUUGCCACAAACCCCAAUUAUUUUCUAGGGGGUUGGACCUCCGGGGGAUCAGGGUAGGGGGAUACCCGGCUGAACUUAAGGCAUAUCAAUAAGGCGGGGAGGGGAAGGGUCGGACUG